GCCGCGUACCCGUGCGUGCCCAUGACGCGCGUCGUGAUGUGGGUCGCGUCCCCCUGCGGCCCCUCCUUCGCCAGGCCAAAAUCAGAGAGCUUUGCAGUGUAAUCCUGAAAAUCAUCGUGACAAAUCUUAAGGUGAAUGCGCUGUACGGUAACUGUUCAUGCUGAAAAUAUGAGAUUGGACUUGAUGAAACUUACCGAGUCGAGAAGAAUAUUCGAAGCCUUGAAGUCGCGGUAGAUCACCGGCGUCUCUGCCUCGUGCAGGAAAGCCAGACCCUUCGCCGCUCCGACCGCGAUCUUGAGCCGCGUCGACCAUGGCAACGACGCAAGGAGGUCUGCAGCCGUAUGAACACAAGAUGUUAUUCAACUGAUCGAUCAGUAGCAACAAUUUUAACAUUGCUCCUCGAGAUGAUGCGCUGGUAGUACUUACUCUUGAAGAGGUGGUUCUCGAGGCUGCCCCUGGGCAUGUACUCGUAGACCAGCAUCCUGUUGUCGUCUUGGUUGCAGAAGCCCAGUAGCUUCACCAGAUGAGGAUGGCUCAGCAUCCCGAGGCAGGUGGUGCUGGGAUCGACGUGAACGUACCAGCCACUCGCGGUGCCCCUGGACGCCGUCGCUGUCGAGGUACUUGACGGCGACGUGCUGCGGCUCGAUCCCCGGCCGGAGCCUCCCGUCGACGAAGCCCUUGUA